CAGUAGCCGCGGUAAAACGAAGGGGGCUAGCGUUGCUCGGAAUUACUGGGCGUAAAGGGAGCGUAGGCGGAUAGUUAAGUUGGGGGUGAAAGCCCGGGGCUCAACCUCGGAAUUGCCUUCAAUACUGGCUAUCUAGAGUAUGGGAGAGGUAUGUGGAACUCCGAGUGUAGAGGUGAAAUUCGUAGAUAUUCGGAAGAACACCAGUGGCGAAGGCGACAUACUGGCCCAUUACUGACGCUGAGUCUCGAAAGCGUGGGGAGCAAACAGGAUUAGAUACCCCGGUAGUCCCUGUCUCUUAUAC
rnacentral:rRNA from 1 species